rnacentral:lncRNA from 13 species
CUUAUAAUUCAAUAUAAUACACAAUAAUAUAAUAGUAUAACAUAGUAAAUCUAUAGAAUGAAACACCAUAAUACAUAGUUAAACCAUAUUUAUUAUGCUGAUCCCUGAAAAUGAGAUCGAUAUUGUUGUAUUUCAGAAACAGAAACAGCUGUGCAAUUAUGGCAGGGAGCAGUGGGUGUGGCUUCUGGAGUGGCCAUGUUCCUGAUGGGAUUGACAGCUGGCUAUCUCUGCAGGAGGACCAGUGAGUACUUCUGAUUCUGUAUAACAAAGAACUUGCAAACAUUUUCCUUUUUCAUAUUAAUGUAAUUGCCUUUGACAUGGGUUAAUCUUUCAACUCCUUUUCGUGAUAUUGUAUAGGGUAGGCUACAGUAUAUCUAUCAACUCAUUUUGGUCAUAUUGUUCAGGGUAGGAUAUAUUGAAUAUAAUUAAUCUAGCCUAAUCUGUUUUUCAGGGAAAACCAAUUCUCUGAGGUAAGAAUUCCCUUAUGAAUAUGAUGUAAAUUGUAUCAACCUUUAGUUCUGUAUUGUCCAUGAUGAGAUGUUCUUACCACAACCUUCUUAUAUACUUUUAUGUUGUACAGACAUACAGCCAGACAGGAUGAUCACAGACAAUGUAUGUUCCAAACAAAAUACAUCAAACACUGCACACACUACUAACACAACUACACACAUACAUGUACAAACACAUAUUCCAAUUACAUUUUCAUUUAUUUACUGUUGUAGGUGAUUUGGUGAUGGGAGCAGUGAGCAGUGCAGGCAUGUUGGAUUCAAGGGAUGCUGGGAUCUAUUCUCUCAUCACCACUGUACCAUCCAUGUUCUUGCCCUCAGGCCCUGUUGAAGAAAAUGGAGAGUCACCUGAAAACAACAAUUCUGAUACGUACCACGUAUACAGCUCAAUCCCCGACAGACCAGCAACCUCAGCCCAGCCGGAUGGGUUGCACAGUCUUCUGCAGACACACUGACACUACACCUCUGGCUUUGUGUAGCUAUGUCUCACACAUCUCACACAAAUACCCUCUUUCUCACAUAAUGUCCUUUAUUAUCACUCUUCAAGUUACUGUAAAUAAGUCUCUUAGCAGGUAAUAUAUAUUUUACAUAUGGACACCUGGCUUAUGUUACAUGCCUGUCCAUAAUAUCUGUUACUGUGUUAGCAUUUUUAUUUUGGAGUAUUGGAGGAGUUUGGAGCAUAAUUAAAUGUUUUCCUCCUAGUAAAUGCUGUAUUUAUGUAUAUUCUGUGUGAUUCCUCCUUCCAUAACGGUUGGAUAAUAUUUCUUAAAUAAAAUGUGUUCGGAGUCAAAAUCGAUAAAUACAGACAAUUUAAAAUCACAAUAUCAUCAGUUAAUCUAUUGCAUUAUGAGGCCAUAUAGUGUUUGUUUACAUUUACGGUGUACCAACAUUGGAGUAAAACAAGCUGAUAUUUUGGGGGUUUUGAUUGGGAACGACACUUUAACUAAGCUGCUGUAGUCAUGAGGCAUUUAUAAGUUAUAUUCUUGAUGAAUCAAUGGGUAGAUAUAAUUAAUUUAUUGGCCCAAAAAUGGGCCAAGGUUUGCUAUGUCUGUCAGCGUAGUGUCCAGAGCAUGGAGGCGCUACCAGGAGACAGGCCAGUACAUCAGGAGACGUGGAGGAGGCCGUAGGAGGGCAACAACCCAGCAGCAGGACCGCUACCUCCGCCUUUGAGCAAGGAGGAGCAGGAGGAGCACUGCCAGAACCCUACAAAAUGACCUCCAGCAGGCCACAAAUGUGCAUGUGUCUGCUCAAACGGUCAGAAACAGACUCCAUGAAGGUGUUAUGAGGGCCCGACGUCCACAGGUGGGGGUUGUGCUUACAACCCAACACCGUGCAGGACGUUUGGCAUUUGCCAGAGAACACCAAGAUUGGCAAAUUCGCCACUGGCGCCCUGUGCUCUUCACAGAUGAAAGCAGGUUCACACUGAGCACAUGUGACAGACGUGACAGUUUGGAGACGCCAUGGAGAACUUUCUGCUGCCUGCAACAUCCUCCAGCAUGACCGGUUUGGAGGUGGGUCAGUCAUGUGCUCGCCAGAGGUAGCCUGACUGCCAUUAGGUACUGAGAUGAGAUCCUCAGACCCCUUGUGAGGCCAUAUGCUGGUGCGGUUGGCCCUGGGUUCCUCCUAAUGCAAGACAAUGCUAGACCUCAUGUGGCUGGAGUGUGUCAGUAUGGCCACUAGAUUUUAGUUUAGUGUGUAAUAAGUUGUAAUAAGUGUUGUGUGUUACAUGUUAAUAAAGAGUAUCUCUUGCAUGUGUACAUGAACUCAAAGCUCCACAGACAUUGUUGUGAAUUCAAACAGUCAAGAAAGCAUUCCAGGUAUGUGUCCUUCUCUAGCUGCCUGCCUGUCUAUUUUACACAACUAAGACAACUGAUACGUGCAACCUCACAAUUUAAUGACACAUUUUCUGAGAUCAAAUCUUGAGAUGUGUAUUGACCCUGGGAAUACAAGCUAAUGACCUUCCCAAUGUCACCAAACAGCUUUGCAAGUAUGGCAGGCAGCAGUGGGUGUGGCUUCUGGGGUAGGUGUUCAAAUACUCUUUCCAAUUGUACAUUCAGUCAAGGUUUUAACAAUGAUAUACCACAUUAUUAAAUUGUGAACAUGUAAUCUUUCCACUGAAUCAGUUGUGUUCUACUGACUCAGAAAUAAUGAAUACCUUUCUUCUUGUGUAAUCAGAUACAGAAUGAACUUUUAUUACUUUCCAGCAGGUUUAAAUGUUACUUCUCUUUGAUCCCUGACAGCCCAGUGAGACCAACUAGUAACUAUCACUUAGUUUACUAAUUAAUUUUAUUUCACUCUAAUUCACUAAAGCUCCAACUGGUUUACUCAUAAACCUAGUCAUAGCUGUUUGUACUUUCACUCUAAAUUGUUAUACUUUUCUUAGAUAUGAAACAAAUGUAAAUGUUUAAUCUCAUAAUGUUUCUUCUCCUACGUCAGGUGUGUUGGUCAUCUUUAGUUAAAAUACACUUGACUUUUCCUACUAGCGCUAACUUUGCUGAUAACUACCUUGUUGAGGGAAAAUCUAGUUGCUACGAUUGUGAUAUGUUGUUAUCUCACCUAGCUAUCUUAAGAUGAAAUAACGGAUGUAAGUCACUCUGGAUAAGAGCCUCUGCUAAAUUACUUAAAUAUCAAAUGUUCAACUGACUAACUGUCUUUUCCCACACAUGAAAACGGAAACAUUUUCUCAGACUAAUAAUAAUGUGGUAUUCUGACACCUGUUUAACGUUUAAGUAUUUACUUUAGGAUAAAAGGCUGAUGACCUCACCUGUUGCCAUCAUGUCACCAAACAGCGGUGCAACUAUGGCAGACAGCAGUGUGUUUGGCUUCUGGAGUUUCCGUGUUCCUGAUGGGACUGACAGCUGUCUGUCUCUGCAGGAGGACCAGUGAGUACUUCUGAUUCUGCAUACCAAAUGUUUUGCAAACAUUUUCCCUUGUCAUAUUAAUUAAUGUAAAUGCUUUGACAUGGGUUAAUCGAUCCACUCCUUUUGGUGAAAUUGUAUAGGGUUGGCUAUAUUGAACAUAAUCAUUUUUUCAGAGAAAAACAGUUAUCAGAGGUAAGAAUUCCCUUGUGAAUAUGAUGCAGAUUGUAUCAACCUUUAGUUCUGUAUUGUCCAUGAUGAGAUGUUCUUACCACAACCUUCUGAUACUUUUAUGUUGUACAGACCCACAGCCAGACAGGAUGAUCAAAGCCAAUGUACAGUACCAAUCAAAAUGUAGGACACACCUACUCAUUCCAUAGUUUUUCUUUAUUUUCACUAUUUUCUACAUUGUAGAAUAAUAGUGAAGACAUCAAAACUGUGAAAUAACACAUAUGGAAUCAUGUAGUAACCAAAAAAGUGUUAAACAAAUCAACAUAUAUUUUAGAUUUGAGAUUCUACAAAGUAACCACACUGCCUUGAUGACAGCUUUGCACACUCUUGGCAUUCUCUCAACCAGCUUCAUGAGGAAUGCUUUUCCAACAGUCUUGAAGGAGUUCCUAAGAGAAGCAGGAGGGUGGACCAGAGUAAUGAAGACUUUUCGUUGACAGUUUCCUAAAUCACUGUGCAUACCUUCAAACAUACACACACGCAUGCACACACACAGACACACAAACAUUAUAUUUUAACUUUUUAAAAUGUUUUGUUUGACGUUUUAUGCAUCUUUGAGACUUCUGUGAAUUCUCUUUUGAAAUUGAGUUCAUGGUAGUGUUGCAAGGCAAGUUCAUAAUUUAAUUUACAUAGUCUACAUUCAUACAUUGACUGUGCAAAAACAUUAAGAACACCCCUCCCCCAGUUUGAAGUAAGUUACUAACUAGUGUUAGGGGCAUGGACUCUACAAGGUGUUGAAAGUGUUCCACAGGGAUGCUGACUCCAAGGCUUCCCACAGUUGUUUCAAGUUGGAUGGAUGUCCAUUGGGUGGUGGACCAUUCUUAAUACACACGGGAAACUGUUGAACCCAGCAGCGUUAGAGUUCUUAAUACACACGGGAAACUGUUGAACCCAGCAGCGUUAGAGUUCUUAACACAAACCGGUGCGCCGUUCAAAGGCACUUAAUUAUUUUGUCGUUCCCAUUCACCCUCCUAGUGGCACACAUACAUAAUUGAUCUCUCAAUUGUCUCAAGGAUUAAAAAUACUUAUAUUUAACCUGUCUCCUCCCCUUCAUCUACAAUGCUUGAAGUGGAUUUAACAAGUGACAUCAAUAAGGGAUCAUGGCUUUCUCUGAAUGAAUUCACCUGGUCAGUCUAUGUCGUGGAAAGAGCAAGUGUUCAGUGUAUACACACACACACACACACACACACACACACACACACACACACACACACACACACACACACACACACACACUCACUCACACACACACACAUACUUUUGCACACAUUCACGAAAAAAGUCCUUGAUGGCAGUGUAGUUCUAGUGUCCCUUCACAAGACUUUGUGAAUGUUGAUCUGUUUAAAGGUUUUAUUCACAUCGGCUAACAAGAGUAUUAUCACACAGUCAUCCAGAACAGCUGGUGCUUUUGUUUUAGUUUCAGUGUUGCUUGCUUCAAAGCGAGCAUGAAAUACAUUUAGCUCGUCUGGUAGGCUCAUGUCACAGUCCAUAAUAGUUUUCAAGCCCU